rnacentral:rRNA from 1 species
AGCAGUAGCCACGGUAAUACGUAGGGUGCAAGCGUUAAUCGGAUUUACUGGGCGUAAAGCGUGCGUAGGCGGCUUUUUAAGUCGGAUGUGAAAUCCCUGAGCUUAACUUAGGAAUUGCAUUCGAUACUGGGAAGCUAGAGUAUGGGAGAGGAUGGUAGAAUUCCAGGUGUAGCGGUGAAAUGCGUAGAGAUCUGGAGGAAUACCGAUGGCGAAGGCAGCCAUCUGGCCUAAUACUGACGCUGAGGUACGAAAGCAUGGGGAGCAAACAGGAUUAGAUACCCGAGUAGUCCCUGUCUCUUAUAA